AGUGGCGGACGGGUGAGUAACGCGUAAGAAUCUAACUUCAGGACGGGGACAACAGUGGGAAACGACUGCUAAUACCCGAUGUGCCGCAAGGUGGAACCUAAUUGGCCUGGAGAAGAGCUUGCGUCUGAUUAGCUAGUUGGUGGGGUAAAGGCCUACCAAGGCGACGAUCAGUAGCUGGUCUGAGAGGAUGAGCAGCCACACUGGGACUGAGACACGGCCCAGACUCCUACGGGAGGCAGCAGUGGGGAAUUUUCCGCAAUGGGCGAAAGCCUGACGGAGCAACGCCGCGUGAGGGAGGAAGGUCUUUGGAUUGUAAACCUCUUUUCUCAAGGAAGAAGUUCUGACGGUACUUGAGGAAUCAGCCUCGGCUAACUCCGUGCCAGCAGCCGCGGUAAUACGGGGGAGGCAAGCGUUAUCCGGAAUUAUUGGGCGUAAAGCGUCCGCAGGUGGUCAGCCAAGUCUGCCGUCAAAUCAGGUUGCUUAACGACCUAAAGGCGGUGGAAACUGGCAGACUAGAGAGCAGUAGGGGUAGCAGGAAUUCCCAGUGUAGCGGUGAAAUGCGUAGAGAUUGGGAAGAACAUCGGUGGCGAAAGCGUGCUACUGGGCUGUAUCUGACACUCAGGGACGAAAGCUAGGGGAGCGAAAGGGAUUAGAUACCCCUGUAGUCCUAGCCGUAAACGAUGGAUACUAGGCGUGGCUU
rnacentral:rRNA from 1 species